CAAAUACUGGGGAAAAUUUUGUAUAUCUGUCAAAAUGAUCCACAAGGAAUAUUUCAUACAACAAAAAAAUGUUAAAAUUACAUAAAUAAUUUAAAAAAUUUGGAUAUAUUAAUUUAUUUGAUAGUCCUGAAACAUUGUAGGACACGAUUUUUGUUUCAGUUUUCUUACAAUCUAAAAUAUUUAAAUUUUGUUCACAACAGUCAUAUAAUUGCUAAUCUAAUAUGGUCUCGCAUUAACUGGAUUCCAGAUGGAAAUCCAUUCUUGAAAAAUCUUUAUUAUAUAUUUCCCCUCACUUUGCAGCUCAUUUGCUACCACCGUAAACAAUUUUCCUUCUAUAUCAAGCUUUUGCCCUUGAACUUAAUUGUUUCUGUUUUAUCAAAUUUUCUUAUUGCAUUUCGUAUUCGUAGCAGAUAAUUGUGACGUUCUUUUUCCUUCUGAGUCAUAUCCCUUUGAAUGCCAUACUUUGUUCCUGCUAGUUUAGCGGUAUUUUGUAGGAUUGUUGCAUUACUGCUUGUGCUUCAAAUUCGACUAGAAAAUUCUACUUAUCAACUCUCCCUAAACUUAAAAUUCUUACAAUCUCUAAUCUUUCAUUUAUUUUAAGAAUGCUUUUACAUAGCAUUCAUUUAUCAUUUUUUUCCAGUGAAUCCUUUUCGAACUCUUUAAAAUGAGAUUGUUUUUUCGUGUAUAUUUAUCAAACGUUUCGUUUUUUCUUAAACUCUCUUCUGUAUAUUCUUCGAGCUGUUGUAUUUUGUUUUUGAAAUUGAUGUUUUCUUUUUUCAAUUCUUUUGAGUGAGAAUCUACUGUAUCCUUUGUGCUCUUCAUUUCUUCCUGUAUGAUUCUUCGAAAUUGCUCCAUCAUAGUGUCCCAUGUGGACAUUUCCACUACUGUUUGAUAAAGCUUCGUAUAUUCUUCGUCCGAGCCAUAGAGGAAUAUAUUUACCAAGAGAACCAACCGAUACCCGUCUUGAUUGAAACACCUUAAAAUUUUAUUUGACGUGAACUCUCUCAAAUUGGCUAUCGGUGAAUAUGUACAUGUGAGUUAUGGACAAAAAGAAAAAACAACUUAUGGAAUUUUUGUGACCUGUCAAGAAUGACAAUUCCACAAUUUCAAUUUUGCAAAACAAAACAAUGUGUUUCGGCUUUUAAGAUUAAGUUUUUGUUAAUUUUUUCGAUACAUAAUAUAAUUUGAUAUUUUCAAACUAAAAGCCUUCAUAAUGAAGAGAGUAUAUACAAGUUCACUUCAUUUAAUAAAAAAUGCUGCCAAUUACAUACCAUAAAUGCAAGAAGCAAACAAGGCGCUGAUUUACAGACAGACGCUGUCCAAUUUCUUGUGUGUACAUCUCAACGGCAAUAGCUGUGGCAGGCAUUGAAGGUGGAGGUGUCACCAUCUCUACCAAUAGUCAAACCAUUUAAUGCAAUAAAAUCAUCAUCAACAACACCACCAAGUCAAUGAUGUAAGAGGAAGUUUUGCCAUACAAUAGUUGACCGCUAACGCAUUUCUCCCAGCAGCUAAGUGUUGUAUUGGAACGACAUAACAGCAGCAACUGCCAACGUGGCCUAUUCACCAGCUACCAAGAAAUAAAUUCAUAUCGUGAACAACUCACUUAAUCUUCAUAUUUUAGGUGUAAAGUGUACUACCAGCCGGUAGUUCUGCAAGAGAAGCAAGAAAAACAAGACUUAAAUCGCAGGAAGACUCCAAAAAAAGUCCAACCUUGACUGUAAAUUAUGUGAGUUCGAAUAUUAAAUCUAAAACGAAUCCAUUUAUUUUGCUCUUAAGGAUUGCACUUAACGGUGGCAAUCAUUCGGAGGCAAAUGGACUGGCCCGACAAAAAUCCCCAAAAGGCCUAACAGAUUCAGAUCAGUCCCUCGGCAGCUACUGACGAUGUCGGCGAGUUGAAUCCAUCGAUUUUCACACAGAAAAUCAACAUCAAAAACAUCACAACAAUUCAGCAGCGUCAUGGCCAACCUGCCGAUCAACUAUUCACAGCGAACAACCUCUAUUCGCAGCGGAAGUAUUUGUGAAUCAAGCGAUCUCUGCGUUGUCGACAAUGCGAACAGAAUGUCAUCAAGCCGGAAUACCAUCAGGGAUUGAUCAAGUAUCGCAUUCAAUUGUUCGCUAACUACCUGCCAACCAAGAAAGAGGAACGGUGAAUGAUCGAUUUCGAACAAAACAACAGGCGACCGUGCCUGCAGCAACAUCGACUCCAUCAUUAAACACGAGUCUAUUGAGAUACACAUAACUGACUGAGGAACCACGUUGUAUUAAGAGUCCCACCAACGCCAUACUAGACAUAUUGGAUUCUUCGUUUGUACUAAAUCAACGCGGGGGCAUAAGAACCUAUCGGAAUAGUGCGAUUGGAUUGUUAGGAAUAAAAUCUUGUCGUGAAGUGUAAUUUCUACAAAAAAAAAGAAUAUUCAUAUAAUUUGAUUUUAAAAUGAAUGUGAUGAACACACUUACAUAUCUUGAACUUGUACCUCUUAGUGGCCUGUUAUUUUUCGCUCCAGAAUAUACAUGUUGGCGUUGUAACUUCUUUCAGGGAAUGUCACUUCUUCUGUUGCAACAUUAAAUUAAUUUAAUUAAAAUAACAAAUUAAUAUUUUGGAUUUAAA